UACGUAGGGGGCAAGCGUUGUCCGGAAUCAUUGGGCGUAAAGCGCGUGUAGGCGGUUCGGUAAGUCUGCUGUGAAAGUCCAGGGCUCAACCCUGGGAUGCCGGUGGAUACUGUCGGGCUAGAGUGCGGAAGAAGGCGAGUGGAAUUCCCGGUGUAAGCGGUGAAAUGCGCAGAUAUCGGGAGGAACACCAAUUGCGAAGGCAGCUCGCUGGGACGUCAACUGACGCUGAGAACGCGAAAGCGUGGGGGAGCAAACAGG
rnacentral:rRNA from 1 species